rnacentral:lncRNA from 1 species
UCGACAACCUAAUAUCUAUGUUGCUCUGACGUUGUUUUACAAACAUUGCUUCAACAGCAGCCAACAGACGUUGAAUUAACGUUCAUUCAUGGUUAAAUGUACGACGUCGAUUUGUGAACCAAUCUCAACGUUGUUUUAACGUGGAUUCAACGUUGAAUUAUGGUUAACGAGAUUGGCAACCUAAUUUCAACGUUGUUUCAACGUCCAAACAGUAACGUCGAUCCAAUUUGCAUAGUCAACCCUUUUUCAACGUCUAUUCA